GUAGGUGAACCUGCGGAAGGAUCAUUAACACGUAUCCACGUAUAAACCCAAUGUGCUUAUUUGUUGUUGUACCCUGUCAGAAGACUGAGUGUGAGUGCGGUCGGGAGUGGUGAAGGCGUUUCGGCGCUUUUGACCGACUGUGUUCGGAGGACGCCUCACGGCGUUUUCAGCUUGGGCUUCGCUAGUACAGGUUUUGUUCCUCUCACCAUUGGAACUACUCUUUAUUUCUUUAACCCCUUGUAACAACUAU
rnacentral:misc_RNA from 1 species